rnacentral:misc_RNA from 1 species
GAAAUGCGAUAAGUAAUGUGAAUUGCAGAAUUCAGUGAAUCAUCGAAUCUUUGAACGCACAUUGCGCCCCCUGGUAUUCCGGGGGGCAUGCCUGUCCGAGCGUCAUUGCUGCCCUCAAGCACGGCUUGUGUGUUGGGCCGCCGUCCCCAGCGAUGGGGAUGGGCCCGAAAGGCAGUGGCGGCACCGUGUCCGGUCCUCGAGUGUAUGGGGCUCUGUCUUCCACUCUGGUGGGUCCGGCCGGCGAGCCAGCCCGACUUCUCAACCAAUUUUUCUUCUCCAGGUUGACCUCGGAUCAGGUAGGGAUACCCGCUGAACUUAA